GAAUUCUGUUUUUCCUCCUGGUCAACAGGAGCUUUGUACUGAAAAGGAAAUUUAAAAGUCUAAAAAAUGCACCAAAGUCAAUUUUGGAUUAUUGUCCUUUUCUGCAGUCUUAUUUUCUCUUCAUUCUCCCAGACUCCAGUUGUACAAAAUGCAGCAUCUAUUGUUCAGCCAUCUCCUGCACAUGUGGGACAGCAGGGCUUAUCCAAGCUUCCCUCCCGGCCUGGAGCACAAGGGGAACCUCAAAAUUUGAGAACAUUACAGGUAUGUGAUACAUAGUAGGAUCUUAGUGUUGGAGUACCCUGCCUAUCCUCUUCUGUUUUUUCUUCUCUAGAGAAUCUCUAACUUCUCUAGAGAGGGUUCAUACUUUUUCUAACUGUCCAGCCAUAUAGAAUUAGUUUAUACCAAACAGCCAAGGACUUUCUAGCCACUAAUGAGCAUUUAGAGAGUUGAUAAUUUCAUCUAAGUCUCUAUAGGAUAAAUUUAUCAAGUCUGUCUUACGUUCCAGUGGUUUUAUUCAGUUUUGAAUUAUAGACUGUGUUUUCCCGUUUGCAUUUUAUGGAGCAUUAUACUACCUGUGACUGGUUCUUUUCCUCAUCUUCCCCUUCAGGGUCAUAGUGUCAUCCGUUCAGCGACCAAUACCACCCUUCCACACAUGUUGAUGUCUCAACGUGUUAUCGCACCAAAUCCAGCCCAGCUACAGGGUCAACGGGGGCCGCCUAAGCCUGGCCUUGUACGUACCACAACACCCAAUAUGAAUCCCGCCAUCAAUUAUCAACCGGUAAGAAAGAGCCCUACCUAAUGUGGAAACAGAAAUUUUUUAUUUGCUUUUCUUGUUGAAUGGGCCAAAGGUUUUUAGUUUUUGUACAUAGAGAAACAAGGUUGAUUUAGGUGGAGCUUGAAUAGAAUUCAUUUUCCAAAGUGGAAGCUUUGAGGAGUUAUGAAAAUAGUAGUGGGGAAAAAAAGAUAGCUUAUAUAGCAGAGCUGAAUUAGCGAAAAAUCUGCUUAAGAGAAAGAAAUGGACCUAGGUAAAAAAAAGCACAAGGAAGCAUGACAGAAUCCCAUUUUUUCCUCUUUUGUCAGUUUAGCUCAUAAUCAUCAUCAUCCUUUUUUCCUAUAUGCCAGAGUUCUCUUUCAAUGAAUAAGUUGAAUACUUUGUAUUUUGAGGAAAUGAAGCAGUCCAGACGAGGAUCAGAUAUUAACCUUUGAUAAAAAGCAAGAAUUGGUCUCCCACAUACCAACCGUCACUGAUACAUCAUCUCAAUCUGUUUCAGCAGUCAAGUUCUUCUGUUCCCUGUCAGCGCACAACAUCCUCCGCUAUCUAUAUGAACCUUGCCUCCCAUAUCCAGCCAGGAACCGUGAACAGAGUGUCCUCACCACUUCCUAGCCCCAGCGCCAUGACCGAUGCUGCCAACUCACAGGCUGCAGCCAAAUUGGCCCUUCGCAAACAGCUGGAAAAGACACUCCUGGAGAUCCCACCUCCAAAACCUCCUGCUCCCUUGCUUCACUUCCUGCCUAGUGCAGCCAAUAGUGAGUUCAUCUACAUGGUAGGCUUGGAAGAAGUCGUACAGAGUGUCAUUGACAGCCAAGGUAAGACUAUUUCCUCAGGUCAGUCUCUAUCUAAGCAAGAGGUUGCCAGGCCUGAUUGGCAUAGGCAGAGUAUCACAUAGUACUAUGUAAUGUUAAAUAAUCUUUCCUUACUAUUGCCAAACCACCUACCAUCACUUAUAGAUUGUUUGGAAACAGUAUCCAGAGAGCUUUGUGUGCAUGUAGUGUGUUUGUAUUUUAUAUAUCCUUUUUUUUUCCAUGACCUUUAUUUUACUUAUCUAUUUAUAUGUGAUGCUGAGAAUCGAACCCAGUGCCUCACACAUGCUAGGCAAGUACUCUACCACUGAGCCACAACCCCAGCCCAUUUAUAUAUCUUUUAUAUUUUUUCAGUGUAUUAUUUAGAUCUUGAAAUGGUGCCUAGCUGGACAGGGGUAUAGCUCAG
rnacentral:lncRNA from 1 species